UACGUAGGGGGCAAGCGUUGUCCGGAAUCAUUGGGCGUAAAGCGCAUGUAGGCGGCUUGUUAAGUCACGUGUGAAAGCCCCAGGCUCAACCUGGGAAGUGCGCGUGAAACUGGCGAGCUUGAAUCCUGGAGAGGGUGGCGGAAUUCCCGGUGUAGAGGUGAAAUUCGUAGAUAUCAGGAGGAACACCGAUGGCGAAGGCAGGUCUCUGGGCCACUACUGGACGCUGAGAAGCGAAAGCAUGGGGAGCGAACAGG
rnacentral:rRNA from 1 species